rnacentral:rRNA from 1 species
GCAUAUCAAUAAGCGGAGGAAAAGAAACCAACAGGGAUUGCUCUAGUAACGGCGAGUGAAGCAGCAAUAGCUCAAAUUUGAAAUCUGGCGUCUUCGACGUCCGAGUUGUAAUUUGUAGAGGAUGCUUCUGAGUGGCCACCGACCUAAGUUCCUUGGAACAGGACGUCAUAGAGGGUGAGAAUCCCGUAUGCGGUCGGAAAGGCGCUCUAUACGUAGCUCCUUCGACGAGUCGAGUUGUUUGGGAAUGCAGCUCUAAAUGGGAGGUAAAUUUCUUCUAAAGCUAAAUAUUGGCCAGAGACCGAUAGCGCACAAGUAGAGUGAUCGAAAGAUGAAAAGCACUUUGGAAAGAGAGUUAAAAAGCACGUGAAAUUGUUAAAAGGGAAGGGAUUGCAACCAGACUUGCUCGCGGUGUUCCGCCGGUCUUCUGACCGGUCUACUCGCCGCGUUGCAGGCCAGCAUCGUCUGGUGCCGCUGGAUAAGACUUGAGGAAUGUAGCUCCCUCGGGAGUGUUAUAGCCUCUUGUGAUGCAGCGAGCGCCGGGCGAGGUCCGCGCUUCGGCUAGGAUGCUGGCGUAAUGGUCGUAAUCCGCCCGUCUUGAAACACGGACCAAGGAGUCUAACAUCUAUGCGAGUGUUCGGGUGUCAAACCCCUACGCGUAAUGAAAGUGAACGGAGGUGAGAACCGCAAGGUGCAUCAUCGACCGAUCCUGAUGUCUUCGGAUGGAUUUGAGUAAGAGCAUAGCUGUUGGGACCCGAAAGAUGGUGAACUAUGCCUGAAUAGGGUGAAGCCAGAGGAAACUCUGGUGGAGGCUCGCAGCGGUUCUGACGUGCAAAUCGAUCGUCAAAUUUGGGUAUAGGGGCGAAAGACUAAUCGAACCAUCUAGUAGCUGGUUCCUGCCGA